GAAUGUGAGGGUGAUCUGGCUGUGACAUCUGUCACCCCAUUGAUGUCCACAGUUGAUUCACCUGAUCUGGCUGGCUAGGCAGGUAUCCCCUUAUUCCCUCACUGCUCCAUGUGCAUCCUUCCCAAAGCUGGGUGCUUGGUCAAAGAAGAUGACAAUCUCCGAUAGAGGAGGACUGGUUUUUGGACAAGCGUAUAUCAGUAGCUGCAUUCUCCUGCUAGAACUCCAAACAAGCUCUCAAAAUAGCUGUGUUGAGGAAACUCAAAAAAAUUCAAGAUAACACAGAGAAGGAAUUCAAAAUUCUGUCGGAUAAAUUU
ensembl:misc_RNA 7SK 7SK RNA